GGAGAAGCAGAGUGAUGAGCAUUACUGGCUGGAGCACCAAAGAGGCACAAGUGUGUGCGUGGGUGCAUGUGUGAGUUUCUCUGUCUGGGUCUGUGCGUGCACACGUAUGUCUGGGAGUGUGAAUGUGUGUGACUGGCUGUAGGGAACUAGCCGUGUGCCUUCUGUGGGGCCAUGACAGUCAAACUGAUAAGAUCUGAUUGCUUC